rnacentral:rRNA from 1 species
GUCGAGCGGUAGCACAGAGAGCUUGCUCUCGGGUGACGAGCGGCGGACGGGUGAGUAAUGUCUGGGAAACUGCCUGAUGGAGGGGGAUAACUACUGGAAACGGUAGCUAAUACCGCAUAACGUCGCAAGACCAAAGAGGGGGACCUUCGGGCCUCUUGCCAUCAGAUGUGCCCAGAUGGGAUUAGCUAGUAGGUGGGGUAAUGGCUCACCUAGGCGACGAUCCCUAGCUGGUCUGAGAGGAUGACCAGCCACACUGGAACUGAGACACGGUCCAGACUCCUACGGGAGGCAGCAGUGGGGAAUAUUGCACAAUGGGCGCAAGCCUGAUGCAGCCAUGCCGCGUGUAUGAAGAAGGCCUUCGGGUUGUAAAGUACUUUCAGCGAGGAGGAAGGCAUUGUGGUUAAUAACCGCAGUGAUUGACGUUACUCGCAGAAGAAGCACCGGCUAACUCCGUGCCAGCAGCCGCGGUAAUACGGAGGGUGCAAGCGUUAAUCGGAAUUACUGGGCGUAAAGCGCACGCAGGCGGUCUGUCAAGUCGGAUGUGAAAUCCCCGGGCUCAACCUGGGAACUGCAUUCGAAACUGGCAGGCUAGAGUCUUGUAGAGGGGGGUAGAAUUCCAGGUGUAGCGGUGAAAUGCGUAGAGAUCUGGAGGAAUACCGGUGGCGAAGGCGGCCCCCUGGACAAAGACUGACGCUCAGGUGCGAAAGCGUGGGGAGCAAACAGGAUUAGAUACCCUGGUAGUCCACGCCGUAAACGAUGUCGACUUGGAGGUUGUUCCCUUGAGGAGUGGCUUCCGGAGCUAACGCGUUAAGUCGACCGCCUGGGGAGUACGGCCGCAAGGUUAAAACUCAAAUGAAUUGACGGGGGCCCGCACAAGCGGUGGAGCAUGUGGUUUAAUUCGAUGCAACGCGAAGAACCUUACCUACUCUUGACAUCCACGGAAUUUAGCAGAGAUGCUUUAGUGCCUUCGGGAACCGUGAGACAGGUGCUGCAUGGCUGUCGUCAGCUCGUGUUGUGAAAUGUUGGGUUAAGUCCCGCAACGAGCGCAACCCUUAUCCUUUGUUGCCAGCGGUUCGGCCGGGAACUCAAAGGAGACUGCCAGUGAUAAACUGGAGGAAGGUGGGGAUGACGUCAAGUCAGUCAUGGCCCUUACGAGUAGGGCUACACACGUGCUACAAUGGCGUAUACAAAGAGAAGCGACCUCGCGAGAGCAAGCGGACCUCAUAAAGUACGUCGUAGUCCGGAUUGGAGUCUGCAACUCGACUCCAUGAAGUCGGAAUCGCUAGUAAUCGUAGAUCAGAAUGCUACGGUGAAUACGUUCCCGGGCCUUGUACACACCGCCCGUCACACCAUGGGAGUGGGUUGCAAAAGAAGUAGGUAGC